ACAAUAUUGUACUGCGAAAGAAAAGAGAAAAAUUAGCCAAAGCAAAAGGAGAGAAGAUAGAUAGAUAGAUAGAUAUCUAUACAUAUAUAUAUAUAUUAGAGAGAUAUUUUUUCCUCACAUAUAUAUCGCUCCACUUGCUCGCUUUCUCUCUAUCUAGCUAGCCUCCGAUCGCGAAAUUAGGGUUUCUGCAUUCCUCUUCUGUUCUUCCCUUUUGAUUUAUCAUUGGUGUUUCAAGUUAGGCUGAGGAAAAGUAUGAUUGGAAACUUAUUUGGGGGUUUGAUUUGAUGGUGACGAAAAGUUACACAAGAAUUUUCUAAAACGAGUACAUUUUCAAGGAUUCGAGUAAAUCUGGUUCAAGAGGUGUGGGGUAAUUUGCAAUAAUCCUUAGAAAGGAGCAAAAAGCAAAUUGACAUUUUUGGUAUUGUUUGACUAUGCCAACUUCAUGGGCUGAUUCAGUUGCAGCUGAGAAUUCGGCUGCUGGUGGUGCUGUUGGUUCUGCAAAUAAUGGGGGUGUGGGAAGUAAUUCUGUUUCAGGCAGGUCAGCAUAUGUGCCACCCCAUUUGAGGAAUAGGCCUGCUCCUUCAUCAACGCCAUCUGCUCCAGCUGCUUCUUAUGCUGGCUCUGUUUCUACAGCAAAUGAUCGUAUUGGGGGCCAAGUUGACUCUUUUCAAGGUGGAGGGAAUCGUUGGGGUGGUCCUAGGCUUGGUGGUGGUGGUAGCGCAGCAGUGGUGCCAGUGUUGGUGGUCGUGGAGGUAGUGGUUGGAACACCAGAGGUGGUGGUUGGGGCCGUGGCAGGGAGCGGGAGGUCAACCCUUUUGGAGAUGAUGAUAGUACCGAAGAAAUGUUUCAACAGGAGAAUACAGGAAUUAAUUUUGAUGCGUAUGAAGAUAUUCCAGUGGAGACCAGUGGGGAAAACGUGCCUCCUCCUGUGAAUACUUUUGCAGAGAUUGAUUUGGGUGAUGCCUUGAAUCAAAAUAUUAGAAGGUGCAAAUAUGUGAAGCCUACACCUGUUCAGCGCUAUGCAAUUCCAAUCUCACUAGCGGGGAGAGAUUUGAUGGCUUGUGCACAAACUGGGUCAGGCAAGACUGCAGCUUUCUGCUUCCCCAUAAUUAGUGGUAUAAUGAGAGGGCAGCAUGGGCAGAGACCGCCACGUGUGCCACGUAUGGCAUUUCCACUUGCUCUUAUUCUUUCUCCAACGAGGGAGCUCUCUUGCCAAAUCCAUGAUGAAGCUAAAAAAUUUGCAUAUCAAACUGGUGUGAGAGUGGUGGUUGCUUAUGGUGGUGCGCCUAUUAACCAACAGCUUCGAGAUCUUGAGAGAGGUGUGGAUAUACUUGUUGCAACUCCAGGACGGUUGGUGGAUUUAUUAGAAAGAGCAAGAGUCUCAUUACAAUUAAUUAGGUACUUAGCUCUGGAUGAGGCUGAUCGAAUGUUGGAUAUGGGUUUCGAACCUCAAAUAAGGAGAAUUGUGGAACAGAUGGACAUGCCUCCUCCUGGUGUAAGGCAAACAAUGCUUUUCAGUGCUACCUUUCCCAAAGAAAUACAGCGGCUGGCUGCAGAUUUCUUGUCCAGUUAUGUAUUUUUGGCUGUUGGAAGAGUUGGGUCAAGUACUGAUUUGAUUGUCCAGAGAGUUGAAUAUGUUCACGAGUCUGACAAGAGAAGCCAUCUUAUGGAUCUGCUUCAUGCGCAGAGGGCAAAUGGUGUUCAUGGCAAGCAAGCUCUUACAUUGGUUUUUGUGGAGACGAAAAAGGGAGCUGAUGCUCUGGAACAUUGGCUGUGUGUGAAUAGUUUCCCUGCUACUGCUAUUCAUGGUGACAGAACACAGCAGGAGCGAGAACAGGCCCUGAGGUCAUUUAAAAGUGGCAACACUCCAAUCUUGGUUGCAACAGACGUGGCUGCACGUGGUCUUGAUAUUCCCCAUGUUGCACAUGUAGUUAACUUCGAUCUUCCAAAUGACAUUGAUGAUUACGUACACCGCAUAGGACGAACAGGGAGAGCAGGGAAAACUGGGUUAGCCACUGCCUUCUUCAAUGAGAAUAAUACGUCUUUGGCAGGUCAUUGUCCGAUCUGAUGCAGGAAGCAAAUCAAGAGUACCUGCUUGGCUCUCGCGCUUUGCAGUUCGUUCUGCCAUGGUAAAAGUCGCCGCGGGGGAGGUCGGUUUGGUAGUCGUGAUUUUAGGAGAGAAUCCUCUUUAACCAGAGGGGUAACAGACUACUAUGGUGGAGGCAACCUCAGCAGUGGCUAUGGUGCUCCUGGCGGGUAUGCUGGGUCAUAUGGCCCUGGAGUAACUAGUGCAUGGGACUGAAUAUCUCUGUUUUAUCCCUUAAUGGUUGCUUGAAAUAUGCAUCUACAUUUAAGUUAGGAGACAUCAUCAGUCGAGUAUAUUUAUUUGGCUUUUACUUUGCUCUUCUUUAGUUAGUUUUGACCUUUUUCAGUUUGCACUCAAUCUGUUGACUGUAUGGGUGGGGGUUCGUGUGCUACGGGCACGGCGAACAUAGGUGCGUGACUGUUGCAGUUGAUGGUGAAUGACUACUAACAGAUUAGGUUUAAAUUGUACUCUUUCAUUUCUCCCUUUCAUUUUCCUGCUUCAUUAUUCGUGUUGAGUUGGAGUACAUUGGGGGAGGCCAGAGAUAUGCGGUUUGCUUCGAGCUGCUUAAUACCUCUGAUGGGUAUAUUCUUUUCGACCUAAUUUGUUGGUUGUAAAAUUCUGCUGCACAAAUCCAAUCGGCCAUUGUGUGAAAAGGAGAAUUUUGUUCCAUUAAUGUUGUAAUUUUAUAAAGUUUAGUAUCAUUAUCUUUUGUAUACAUCAAGCUGAAUUUUCAUGUAUGGGAAGAAGAUGUUUUUAACA